rnacentral:rRNA from 1 species
GACGUAGGGCGCGAGCGUUAUCCGGAAUUAUUGGGCGUAAAGAGCUCGUAGGCGGUUUGUCGCGUCGACUGUGAAAACUGGGGGCUUAACUCUCAGCUUGCAGUUGAUACGGGCAGACUUGAGUUCGGUAGGGGAGACUGGAAUUCCUGGUGUAGCGGUGAAAUGCGCAGAUAUCAGGAAGAACACCAAUGGCGGAAAGCAGCUCUCUGGGACGGUACUGACGCUGAGACGCGAAAGCGUGGGGAGCGAACAGG